rnacentral:rRNA from 1 species
AUGUGUGGCCAUACCACCAGGAAUGCACCCAAUGUCAUCUGAUUUUGGUAGGUGGGCAGGCAGGGUCUAGACUGGUUAGUACUUGGAUAGGAGACUGCUUGGGAAUACUAUGUGCUAUAUUUG